rnacentral:rRNA from 1 species
UACGUAGGGGGCAAGCGUUGUCCGGAUUUAUUGGGCGUAAAGAGCGUGUAGGCGGCCGUACAGGUCAGCUGUGAAAACUCGAGGCUCAACCUCGAGACGUCGGUUGAAACCGUACGGCUAGAGUCCGGAAGAGGAGAGUGGAAUUCCCGGUGUGGCGGUGAAAUGCGCAGAUAUCGGGAAGAACACCCGUGGCGAAGGCGGGUCCCUGGGCCGUAACUGACGCUGAGGAGCGAAAGCGUGGGGAGCGAACAGG